rnacentral:rRNA from 1 species
UGGGGAAUAUUGGACAAUGGGCGAAAGCCUGAUCCAGCCAUGCCGCGUGUGUGAAGAAGGUCUUCGGAUUGUACAGCACUUUAAGUUGGGAGGAAGGGCAGUAAGCGAAUACCUUGCUGUUUUGACGUUACCGACAGAAUAAGCACCGGCUAACUCUGUGCCAGCAGCCGCGGUAAUACAGAGGGUGCAAGCGUUAAUCGGAAUUACUGGGCGUAAAGCGCGCGUAGGUGGUUCGUUAAGUUGAAUGUGAAAGCCCCGGGCUCAACCUGGGAACGGCAUCCAAAACUAGCGGGCUAAAGUAGGGCAGAGGGUGGUGGAAUUUCCUGUGUAGCGGUGAAGUGCAUAGAUAUAAGAAGGAACACCAGUGGCGAAGGCGACCACCUGGGCUCAUACUAACACUGAGGUGCGAAAGCGUGGGGAGCAAACAGG